GUAGGUGGCAAGCGUUGUCCGGAUUUACUGGGCGUAAAGGGCGUGUAGGCGGUCCGCUAAGUCCGGUGUGAAAUCUCCCGGCUCAACUGGGAGGGGUCAUCGGAUACUGGCGGGCUAGAGGAGGGCAGAGGAAGGUGGAAUUCCCGGUGUAGCGGUGAUAUGCGUAGAUAUCGGGAGGAACACCAGUGGCGAAGGCGGCCUUCUGGGCCCAUCCUGACGCUGAGGCGCGAAAGCGUGGGGAGCAAACCGGAUUAGAUACCCGGGUAGUCCACGCCUAAACGUUGGACACUAGGUGUGGGGGUGUCGACCCCCCUCUGUGCCGUAGCUAACGCAUUAAGUGUCCCGCCUGGGGAGUACGGCCGCAAGGCUA
rnacentral:rRNA from 1 species